rnacentral:rRNA from 1 species
UACGUAGGUGGCAAGCGUUGUCCGGAAUUAUUGGGCGUAAAGCGCGCGCAGGUGGUUUCUUAAGUCUGAUGUGAAAGCCCCCGGCUCAACCGGGGAGGGUCAUUGGAAACUGGGAAACUUGAGUGCAGAAGAGGAAAGUGGAAUUCCAAGUGUAGCGGUGAAAUGCGUAGAGAUUUGGAGGAACACCAGUGGCGAAGGCGACUUUCUGGUCUGUAACUGACGCUGAGGCGCGAAAGCGUGGGGAGCAAACAGG